ACUAAUCCUAGCCCUAGCCCUACACAAAUAUAAUUAUACUAUUAUAUAAAUCAAAACAUUUAUCCUACUAAAAGUAUUGGAGAAAGAAAUUCGUACAUCUAGGAGCUAUAGAACUAGUACCGCAAGGGAAAGAUGAAAGACUAAUUAAAAGUAAGAACAAGCAAAGAUUAAACCUUGUACCUUUUGCAUAAUGAACUAACUAGAAAACUUCUAACUAAAAGAAUUACAGCUAGAAACCCCGAAACCAAACGAGCUACCUAAAAACAAUUUUAUGAAUCAACUCGUCUAUGUGGCAAAAUAGUGAGAAGAUUUUUAGGUAGAGGUGAAAAGCCUAACGAGCUUGGUGAUAGCUGGUUACCCAAAAAAUGAAUUUAAGUUCAAUUUUAAACUUGCUAAAAAAACAACAAAAUCAAAAAGUAAGUUUAAAUUAUAGCCAAAAGAGGGACAGCUCUUCUGGAACGGAAAAAACCUUUAAUAGUGAAUAAUUAACAAAACAGCUUUUAACCAUUGUAGGCCUAAAAGCAGCCACCAAUAAAGAAAGCGUUCAAGCUCAACAUAAAAUUUCAAUUAAUUCCAUAAUUCACACCAACUUCCUAAACUUAAAAUUGGGUUAAUCUAUAACUUUAUAGAUGCAACACUGUUAGUAUGAGUAACAAGAAUUCCAAUUCUCCAGGCAUACGCGUAUAACAACUCGGAUAACCAUUGUUAGUUAAUCAGACUAUAGGCAAUAAUUACACUAUAAAUAAUACACCUAUAACUUCUCUGUUAACCCAACACCGGAAUGCCUAAAGGAAAGAUCCAAAAAGAUAAAAGGAACUCGGCAAACAAGAACCCCGCCUGUUUACCAAAAACAUCACCUCUAGCAUUACAAGUAUUAGAGGCACUGCCUGCCCAGUGACUAAAGUUUAACGGCCGCGGUAUCCUGACCGUGCAAAGGUAGCAUAAUCACUUGUUCCUUAAUUAGGGACUAGCAUGAACGGCUAAACGAGGGUCCAACUGUCUCUUAUCUUUAAUCAGUGAAAUUGACCUUUCAGUGAAGAGGCUGAAAUAUAAUAAUAAGACGAGAAGACCCUAUGGAGCUUAAAUUAUAUAACUUAUCUAUUUAAUUUAUUAAACCUAAUGGCCCAAAAACUAUAGUAUAAGUUUGAAAUUUCGGUUGGGGUGACCUCGGAGAAUAAAAAAUCCUCCGAAUGAUUAUAACCUAGACUUACAAGUCAAAGUAAAAUCAACAUAUCUUAUUGACCCAAAUAUAUUUUGAUCAACGGACCAAGUUACCCUAGGGAUAACAGCGCAAUCCUAUUUAAGAGUUCAUAUCGACAAUUAGGGUUUACGACCUCGAUGUUGGAUCAGGACAUCCCAAUGGUGUAGAAGCUAUUAAUGGUUCGUUUGUUCAACGAUUAAAGUCCUACGUGAUCUGAGUUCAGACCGGAGCAAUCCAGGUCGGUUUCUAUCUAUUUACGAUUUCUCCCAGUACGAAAGGACAAGAGAAAUAGAGCCACCUUACAAAUAAGCGCUCUCAACUUAAUUUAUGAAUAAAAUCUAAAUAAAAUAUAUACGUACACCCUCUAACCUAGAGAAGGUU
rnacentral:rRNA from 1 species